rnacentral:rRNA from 1 species
CUGAUCCAGCCAUGCCGCGUGUGUGAAGAAGGCCUUCGGGUUGUAAAGCACUUUUGUCCGGAAAGAAAAGCGCUCGAUUAAUACUCGGGUGUUAUGACGGUACCGGAAGAAUAAGCACCGGCUAACUUCGUGCCAGCAGCCGCGGUAAUACGAAGGGUGCAAGCGUUACUCGGAAUUACUGGGCGUAAAGCGUGCGUAGGUGGUUUGUUAAGUCUGAUGUGAAAGCCCUGGGCUCAACCUGGGAACUGCAUUGGAAACUGGCUUACUAGAGUGCGGUAGAGGGGUGUGGAAUUCCCGGUGUAGCAGUGAAAUGCGUAGAUAUCGGGAGGAACAUCUGUGGCGAAGGCGACACCCUGGACCAGCACUGACACUGAGGCACGAAAGCGUGGGGAGCAAACAGGAUUAGAUACCCUGGUAGUCCACGCCCUAAACGAUGCGAACUGGAUGUUGGGGGCAACUUGGCCCUCAGUAUCGAAGCUAACGCGUUAAGUUCGCCGCCGGGGAAGUACGGUCGCAAGACUGAAACUCAAAGGAAUUGACGGGGGCCCGCACAAGCGGUGGAGUAUGUGGUUUAAUUCGAUGCAACGCGAAGAACCUUACCUGGCCUUGACAUGCACGGAACUUUCCAGAGAUGGAUUGGUGCCUUCGGGAACCGUGACACAGGUGCUGCAUGGCUGUCGUCAGCUCGUGUCGUGAGAUGUUGGGUUAAGUCCCGCAACGAGCGCAACCCUUGUCCUUAGUUGCCAGCACGUAAUGGUGGGAACUCUAAGGAGACCGCCGGUGACAAACCGGAGGAAGGUGGGGAUGACGUCAAGUCAUCAUGGCCCCUUACGGCCAGGGCUACACACGUACUACAAUGGUAGGUACAGAGGGUCUGCAACCCGCGAGGGCAAGCCAAUCCAGAAACCCU